AUUGAACGCUGGCGGCAGGCCUAACACAUGCAAGUCGAACGAGUGGCGGACGGGUGAGUAAUGCUUGGGAAUCUGGCUUCUGGAGGGGGAUAACGACGGGAAACUGUAGCUAAUACCGCGUACCAUAAGAUGUGCCCAGGUGGGAUUCGGUAGUUGGUGGGGUAACGGCCUACCACGGCGACGAUCCCUAGCUGGUCUGAGAGGAUGACCAGCAACACUGGGACUGAGACACGGCCCGGACUCCUACGGGAGGCAGCAGUGGGGAAUAUUGCGCAAUGGGCGCAAGCCUGACGCAGCCAUGCCGCGUGAAUGAAGAAGGCCUUCGGGUUGUAAAGUUCUUUCGGUGGCGAGGCGUUAAGCGCAGAAGAAGCACCGGCUAACUCCGUGCCAGCAGCCGCGGUAAUUC
rnacentral:rRNA from 1 species